rnacentral:rRNA from 1 species
CAUUCCGCCUGGGGAGUACGGUCGCAAGACUGAAACUCAAAGGAAUUGACGGGGGGCCGCACAAGCGGUGGAGCAUGUGGUUUAAUUGGAAGCAACGCGAAGAACAUUUCCAGGUCUUGACAUCCUCUGACAAUCCUAGAGAUAGGACGUCCCCUUCGGGGGCAGAGUGACAGGUGGUGCAUGGUUGUCGUCAGCUCGUGUCGUGAGAUGCUGGGUUAAGUCCCGCAACGAGCGCAACCCUUGAUCUUAGUUGCCAGCAUUCAGUUGGGCACUCUAAGGUGACUGCCGGUGACAAACCGGAGGAAGGUGGGGAUGACGUCAAAUCAUCAUGCCCCUUAUGACCUGGGCUACACACGUGCUACAAUGGACAGAACAAAGGGCAGCGAAACCGCGAGGUUAAGCCAAUCCCACAAAUCUGUUCUCAGUUCGGAUCGCAGUCUGCAACUCGACUGCGUGAAGCUGGAAUCGCUAGUAAUCGCGGAUCAGCAUGCCGCGGUGAAUACGUUCCCGGGCCUUGUACACACCGCCCGUCACACCACGAGAGUUUGUAACACCCGAAGUCGGUGAGGUAACCUUUAUGGAGCCAGCCGCCGAAGGUGGGA